CACAUCAUCCAGUGUGGUCGCGGCCUCCGGGUUCUUCCCGGGCGGUAGGAGGUAACACUCUUCACGCGCCACGCGUUUGAAUCCUUUUUUUACGAGCACCUUUCGUUCUCCUUCGGUGGGGCAACCUGCCGCUGGAAUCAUACAAAACCUUUUUUGCAUCUAGCAUUACCUGUUCCGAUAACAAACAAUCGUUA
rnacentral:misc_RNA from 1 species